UACGUAGGGUGCAAGCGUUGUCCGGAAUUAUUGGGCGUAAAGAGCUCGUAGGCGGCUUGUCGCGUCGGCUGUGAAAACCUGGGGCUCAACCCCGGGCCUGCAGCCGAUACGGGCAAGCUAGAAUUCGGUAGGGGAGACUGGAAUUCCUGGUGUAGCGGUGAAAUGACGCAGAUAUCAGGAGGAACACCGGUGGCGAAGGCGGGUCUCUGGGCCGAUAUUGACGCUGAGGAGCGAAAAGCGUGGGGAGCAAACAGG
rnacentral:rRNA from 1 species